UUACUCCUACGUCUGCGCCUGCGCCAGGUGUUCCCCCAUGCGCCUGCGCACCGCAGGGAGCUCCAGUGUCAGGCUCCUCCUCCUCACUCUUUCGCUUUCACUUUCCCAACAGCAAGGGGAUCUUCCAGUUGCUUAAGAAUUAGAUGGAAAAUGAAAGGGGAGGCUUUCCCCUUUUCCCCAACUGCUGGAACCCGGACUCUAAUAUCUGCACCUGGCCGAGUCUUGUGAGGAAAAACUACUCCCUCAAAAGCUCCAGUAUUGGCAUUUACCCCCCCACCAAGUCCUGUAAACCAAAGCUGGCUGGUGGAGAUGCCAUGGGAAGACUCCAGAAGAGAGUUCCUUUGAGGGAGAGAGCAAAAAGGGCUGCGGCAGGUGAGAAACGAGGUUUUCUCAAAAUAAUCUACUCCCUAACUUUACUCAAAGACUAUCUUAAAAGAAGAUCAAGGGUUCUAUCCCUUUGUGGCUCACCAACAAUAUUAAAUUUAAAUUAAUGUCAUUAACUCCAAGUAUUAUAUUUUAUAAGAUUUAUUAGUAAUCAUGAGGUAGAAGAAAUGAAAAAUAGAAGUAUAAAGCUUAAGUAUGACCACAUGAGUAAAAUUUCCUGCCAAGCUCCUGCUCCCUCCACAGCCCCAUUCUGGGAAGAAGAGGGAGAGGGGUGGGGUCAUAUCAAAAUAUAUACUCCCUACGUUAAGAUGUAGCAUAAACAUGCAGAUGGAAUGCUGGGUAAGAGAGUCCUGGGGAGCAAAUUCUAUUCACACACUGGAGUAUAAAGAAGUAUGAUUUCUUUGGUUUGGAUCAGUAAUUUCAUCUCUGUGAGGUAGUCCUGGUAUAGAAACUUCUUCACCUGAUCUGUCACUUAGAGACUUAGAGUUCCCUGGAGCAUU
rnacentral:lncRNA from 1 species